CUGCCAUUCAGUGGCAUGGAGACACUGAACUUUCCUCAUAGAGAUGCAUUUGUUCAAAGCAUCUCUGAGGAGAUGCUGAUUGGCCAGGGCUGUGUUUGACUUGUGCUGGCUCUGUCUCCGAUCUGCCUCCUUGACAUUGGCUCACAUCACUUCUGAUGAUGUCAGCCAAUCAGGCAGAUCAGGGGCAGAGGGAGCAGCAGCAGACCAGAUUAAAGGUACGAUUUUACUACAUUUAUG